rnacentral:rRNA from 1 species
UUUCCGUAGGGGGGACUUGGGGAAGGUCCAUUA